rnacentral:tRNA from 1 species
CGGGGCGUGGCGCAGUCUGGUAGCGCGCGUCGUUCGGGUCGACGAGGUCGUGGGUUCGAAUCCCGCCGCCCCGA